UACGUAGGGUCCGAGCGUUAAUCGGAAUUACUGGGCGUAAAGCGUGCGCAGGCGGUCUUGUAAGCCAGAUGUGAAAGCCCCGGGCUUAACCUGGGAACUGCAUUCGAGACUGCAUAGCUAGAGUAUGGGAGAGGGAAGUGGAAUUUCAGGUGUAGCGGUGAAAUGCGUAGAUAUCUGAAGGAACAUCAGUGGCGAAAGCGACUUCCUGGACCAAUACUGACGCUCAUGUGCGAAAGCGUGGGGAGCAAACAGG
rnacentral:rRNA from 1 species